rnacentral:rRNA from 1 species
GGGGAAUCUUGCACAAUGGGCGAAAGCCUGAUGCAGCGACGCCGCGUGCGGGACGAAGGCCUUCGGGUUGUAAACCGCUUUCAGCAGGGACGAGGCGCAAGUGACGGUACCUGCAGAAGAAGCCCCGGCUAACUACGUGCCAGCAGCCGCGGUAAUACGUAGGGGGCGAGCGUUAUCCGGAUUCAUUGGGCGUAAAGCGCGCGUAGGCGGCCCGUUAGGUCGGGAGUCAAAUCCGGGGGCUCAACCCCCGCCCGCUCCCGAUACCGGCGGGCUUGAGUCUGGUAGGGGAAGGUGGAAUUCCAAGUGUAGCGGUGGAAUGCGCAGAUAUUUGGAAGAACACCGGUGGCGAAGGCGGCCUUCUGGGCCACGACUGACGCUGAGGCGCGAAAGCUAGGGGAGCGAAC